rnacentral:rRNA from 1 species
UACGUAGGGUGCAAGCGUUAAUCGGAAUUACUGGGCGUAAAGCGUGCGCAGGCGGUUUUGUAAGUCAGAUGUGAAAUCCCCAGGCUCAACCUGGGAACUGCGUCUGAUACUGGAUGGCUUGAAUCCGGGAGAGGGAUGCAGAAUUCCAGGUGUAGCGGUGAAAUGCGUAGAUAUCUGGAGGAAUACCGGUGGCGAAGGCGGCAUCCUGGACCGGCAUUGACGCUGAGGAGCGAAAGCCAGGGGAGCAAACGGG